rnacentral:rRNA from 1 species
UACAGAGGUCCCAAGCGUUGUUCGGAUUCACUGGGCGUAAAGGGUGCGAUAGGCGGUUGGGUAAGUCUGUCGUGAAAUCGUCCGAAGCCCAACUCGGAAACCUGCGUCGGACUAACUAUUCAACUCGAGGAAUGGAGGGGAGACGUGGAAUUCUCGGUGUAGCAGUGAAAUGCGUAGAUAUCGAAGAGGAACACCAAUGGCGAAGGCGAGUCUCUGGACAUUUCCUGACGCUGAGGCACGAAAGCCAGGGGAGGCAAACGGG